AUGAACCUCUUGGCCUGGAACUGUCGAGGCUUGGGGUUGGGCUCGACAGUUGGUGAACUCUGUGACCUGAUUAGGUCCUACAACCCAGUGGUGGUAUUUCUAUGUGAAACAAAGAAGAGGGCAAUAGCUAUGGAGAAGAUCAAAUGGAGUCUAGGCUUCAGGAAUGGUGUGGCGGUUGACUGCGAGGGCCAGAGUGGAGGAUUGGCUUUAUGGUGGCGUGAUAACGUUAAUGUCACUGUCCGGCCAUGGAGCCAAUAUUUCAUAGAUGCUAAAGUGGUGUGGGAGGGGAAGGUCUGUAGAUUCACCGGUUUCUACAGAGAGCCAUGCAGAGAGCAGCGGAAGAAAUCAUGGGAUGCUUUGCGUUAUCAUCAUGCACAUGAUACAUUACCAUGGAUUUGCAUGGGGGAUUAUAAUGAAGCAAUGUUCCAGUCCGAUCAGAGAGGAGGGAAUCCAAGGAGUUUUCUACAGAUGGAAGAUUUCCGGGACUGCUUGGCUGACUGCGGCCUUGCGGACUUGGGUUACUCGGGGUACCAAUACAUAUGGGACAAUAGGAGAGAGCCGAAGGAGAAUAUCCAGGUCAGAUUGGACCUGGCUGCAUGCAACGAUGGUUUUCUGGAAAUUUUCCCGGAGACAGUAGUGGAAAAUAUCAUGACAGAAGAGUCUGACCAUCAACCGCUACUGGUACGGGAAUUGGAGACGGCUCCAUGCUCGGAUCAACGUGGAGAGAGACCGUUACGUUUUGAGGAGGCUUGGACGAGGCAUGAGAAGUAUGAUGACAUGGUUUGA
rnacentral:rRNA from 1 species